rnacentral:lncRNA from 1 species
GAAAUUAGAUCUAAUCUGAUUUAUUUUGCCCUUUUUCUCUUCUCAAGAGAAACACAAGAAAAUCUAGAGAAAGAAGAAAGAUGAGAGAUCAAAUUUCUCUUUUUUUCAUUCCGUCCGACCCUUGGACUGAAUCUGGAGGAAAGGGAGAUCAUGUCUAACUCUUGAACAUUUGAGGAGGAGAAGGGAGAGAGAGAGAUCCAUGUCCAACUCUUCGACAAUUGAGGAGGAGAAGUGAGAGAGAUAGCCAUGUCCAACUCUUGGACGAGAGAGGGAG